rnacentral:rRNA from 1 species
UACGAAGGGUGCAAGCGUUACUCGGAAUUACUGGGCGUAAAGCGUGCGUAGGUGGUUCGUUAAGUCUGCCGUGAAAGCCCCGGGCUCAACCUGGGAAUGGCGGUGGAUACUGGCGGACUAGAGUGCGGUAGAGGGUGGUGGAAUUCCCGGUGUAGCAGUGAAAUGCGUAGAGAUGUGGAGGAACACCGAUGGCGAAGGCAGCCCCCUGGGUUAACACUGACGCUCAGGCACGAAAGCGUGGGGAGCAAACAGG